CAAAAACCCAACGCAAAACAACAAAAGUACAGUGCGGAUAAACCUUGCAAAGCAGACAGAGGGUGGGACAGCUGAUUCUGCAACGCAGGUCAUCCCUCCCGUCCAGGAGUCCCAUCAGAGGGUCCUGUGAAUAGAGACGGGCCGUCAAACUGGAGCUCCAAGCAGGGGCUCGGAGAGGAGACUCUGAGGAUCGCUACUCUGCAGGCCACUUUUACCAUCAAAGUAACUUGGAGAGACGACCUCUAGGAUUCUCUUCUCUUCCUAUCUGGGGCUGAUAAUUGGAAAUGGGUUUGAAGCAACUGAAAACGGUUUACAUGGCAGGUGGAAACACAGGUGAAUCUGGGCUGGGGGGGCAUCAGUCUACCUGUGUGCCUGCAGAGGAGGGGCUGGGAACGUCACACUCAGACCCGUCCUCCAUUCCCUUCACGCUGCCCAGGGGCUCCGUCUUCAUCUGCUAUCACCACAAGACAAAACAGCAGCAGCUUAUAACCAAGGCUCUGCUGUGUGUUAUACUGGAGUCCUGGCUGCUUGCCCUGGUUGCGUGGGGUACUCACGUGGCAGUUCUUGUU